GAUCCCAUAGCUCAGUCGGUUAGAGCGUCGUACUAAUACAACUACGAUGUAGUUCUAUCUCUAGUAAUGCGAAGGCCGGCGGUUCGAGCCCGCCUGGGAUCA